rnacentral:rRNA from 1 species
GAUGAACGCUGGCGGCGUGCCUAAUACAUGCAAGUUGAGCGAACGGACGAGAAGCUUGCUUCUCUGAUGUUAGCGGCGGACGGGUGAGUAACACGUGGAUAACCUACCUAUAAGACUGGGAUAACUUCGGGAAACCGGAGCUAAUACCGGAUAAUAUUUUGAACCGCAUGGUUCAAAAGUGAAAGACGGUCUUGCUGUCACUUAUAGAUGGAUCCGCGCUGCAUUAGCUAGUUGGUAAGGUAACGGCUUACCAAGGCAACGAUGCAUAGCCGACCUGAGAGGGUGAUCGGCCACACUGGAACUGAGACACGGUCCAGACUCCUACGGGAGGCAGCAGUAGGGAAUCUUCCGCAAUGGGCGAAAGCCUGACGGAGCAACGCCGAGUGAGUGAUGAAGGUCUUCGGAUCGUAAAACUCUGUUAUUAGGGAAGAACAUAUGUGUAAGUAACUGUGCACAUCUUGACGGUACCUAAUCAGAAAGCCACGGCUAACUACGUG